GACGAAGGGGGCUAGCGUUGUUCGGAAUUACUGGGCGUAAAGCGUGUGUAGGUGGUUGUCCAAGUUGGAUGUGAAAGCCUUGAGCUCAACUCAAGAAAUGCAUUCAGGACUGGGCGACUAGAGGACCGGAGAGGAUAGUGGAAUUCCCAGUGUAGUGGUGAAAUACGUAGAGAUUGGGAAGAACACCAGUGGCGAAGGCGGCUAUCUGGACGGUUUCUGACACUAAGACGCGAAAGCGUGGGGAGCGAACAGG
rnacentral:rRNA from 1 species